UUUCCGUAGGUGAACCUGCGGAAGGAUCAUUAGUGAAUUGAAUAUGUUAGCGGACCUCUUCGGAGUCCCUAGCAUCAAAUCAUAUCCAUAACACCUGUGAACUGUAAGGCUGUCUUGAAAACGAAAGUGAUUAGAGCGCCUGCCCAUUUUAUACAAACAUUAAGUAACAAACGUAGUCUUAUUAUAAUCUAAUAAAACUUUCAACAACGGAUCUCUUGGCUCUC
rnacentral:misc_RNA from 1 species